AGGAAUUAUCAAAGACAAUAGCUAAAUUAGCUGAAGAUGGCAAGGUUGCUAUAAGGAACAUAAGAAGAGAUGCAAUCAAAGCUUAUGAUAAACUAGAGAAGGAAAAGAAGCUUUCUGAGGACAACAUGAAAGAUUUAUCAGCUGAUCUACAA